UUACUUAAAAUACCUAACUCUAUGGAGUAUGGAUAUUGGGUAUCACCGACGGCUACAUCGGUGGUGUUUUUAAACCAUUUGAAACUUUGAAUUGCUGUUGAUCGUUUGGAUACCGUAAUUGACAGCAUGUGUGGUAUAUUUUUGGAGUUAAGCUGCGAAAAAUGUAGCAUAGUGAACGAUAUUGAUGUCCUUCGAAGACUCAAAAACAGAGGACCCGAUCACUUACAGAGGAAGGAUUUUAUUUCUGAAAUUGGACAACACAUAGUUUUCGUAGCCUCAGUUCUAUGGAUGCAAGGUCCGCAAAUGACAUUACAACCUCUCGAAAAUGAAUGUGGCAUCCUUUUGUAUAAUGGUGAUAUAUUUGACGAAUCUUGGGAUAGCAGAACCAGCGACACGCAAAUAAUCAUGGAGAAACUUAGUUAUGAUUGUGACAGUCAAAUCGAUAAAGUGAUCAAUGUAUUAAAGUCACUAAAGGGGCCAUUCAGCUUAAUAUAUUACUGUAAAGUGACAAAUAAAUUAUAUUUCACUAGGGAUCGAUUUGGAAGAAACUCUUUACUCAUACAUAAAAAUUCAAAUUCUUUAGUAUUAUCCAGUGUCUUAGGUACACAGUAUGAGAAUUAUGAAGUUCCCGUAUCACACAUCUCUGUCUUGGACUUGAAUACUCAUAAGAUAUUGUUGUAUACAUGGAAAGCCACAGAUAUCGUUCAGCAAUGUAAUCUCGGUGAUUGGUUGAAGACAUUACAAUUAAAACAAAGUUUAUCUGAUUUAGAUUUUACCGUUGAAGCCAAUAUACCAUGGGAUAUAGAUGGUCUUGAUGAUACAGUGUCAUUCAUUGAGAGUGUUGCUAAGAAAACAAAAUGUAAUGUAACUAUUAUGAAGACGCUUAGUCAACACCCUGAAAUACAAACAACAAUUAAUAAAAUAAUGUACCUACUAAAUAAAAGUAUUCAUAAAAGGUUAAAACGCCAGCCAAAUUUGUGUAGGAAUUGCUUGAAAAUUACAGAAAUAAACUGUAGUCAUAGUGCGGUUGGAGUAUUAUUUUCGGGUGGCUUGGAUUGUACAAUACUUGCAUUGCUAGCUGAUAAAUAUGUACCAAAAAACCAAAGCAUAGAUUUGCUUAAUGUAGCAUUUAAUAAAGAGAACCCAACAUAUGAUGUACCUGACAGGAUAACCGGUAGAAAAUCUUUAGAAGAGCUAAGAAGAUUAUGUCCAUUACGGAAAUGGACUUUCAAAGAAAUUAAUGUACCAAAAGAAGAGUUGGAAGAAUUUCAGAUUAGUGUAAUAGCUGACUUGAUUUAUCCAAGACAAACUAUUUUGGAUGAAAGUCUUGGUUCAGCAUUAUGGUUUGCCGCUCGAGGCCAAGACCAUCACUCCGUGUCUAAUUGUAGGGUUUUAUUUAGUGGUACUGGUGCAGAUGAAUUAUUUGGUGGAUACACAAGACACAGGGCUGUUUUUAAACGGUUAGGAUGGGCUGGUCUAUGUAAAGAAUUACAAUUAGAUUGGGAAAGGAUCCCAUACAGAAAUUUAGCUCGGGAUAACAGAGUUAUUUGUGAUCAUGGUCGACAACCCAGAAUGCCCUAUCUAGAUGAAGAAUUUGCUGAAUUUGUUAUCCAUUUAAAACCUUGGUUAAAAUGUUUUCCAAGUAAACAUUUGGGCCAUGGCUUAGGCGACAAAUUAAUGCUGAGACUCGUAGCUUAUAAUAUUGGUUUGAUGGAAGUCUCUACGUUUCCCAAAAGAGCUCUACAAUUUGGAUCUCGAGUAGCAAACAAGAAUGAAAAAGAUUGCAAUUAUGAUAGUUUACGUGGUACUGUUUGUUAUAAAUAAAUGGUGCGCUUGCAACUUGAUGCACGUGAAAGAAGUGAAACUUCUUUUGUGUAAACGGUGGGCUGGUAUUUUUACGAGCCGCUUUUGUGCUACUAGAAGUUGGAGGCUUACAUAUUUUUACUGAAUGAUACGGUGCAUUAUCCAUGAUGAUCGUCGAUGG
rnacentral:misc_RNA from 1 species